rnacentral:rRNA from 1 species
UACGGGAGGCAGCAGUGGGGAAUAUUGCACAAUGGGCGAAAGCCUGAUGCAGCGACGCCGCGUGAGCGAAGAAGUAUUUCGGUAUGUAAAGCUCUAUCAGCAGGGAAGAUAAUGACGGUACCUGACUAAGAAGCACCGGCUAAAUACGUGCCAGCAGCCGCGGUAAUACGUAUGGUGCAAGCGUUAUCCGGAUUUACUGGGUGUAAAGGGAGCGCAGGCGGUGCGGCAAGUCUGAUGUGAAAGCCCGGGGCUCAACCCCGGUACUGCAUUGGAAACUGUCGUACUAGAGUGUCGGAGGGGUAAGCGGAAUUCCUAGUGUAGCGGUGAAAUGCGUAGAUAUUAGGAGGAACACCAGUGGCGAAGGCGGCUUACUGGACGAUAACUGACGCUGAGGCUCGAAAGCGUGGGGAGCAAACAGAAUGAGAUACCCUGGUAGUCCACGCCGUAAACGAGAAUAAGAGGUGUUGGGAAGCAUUGCUUUUCGGUGCCGUCGCAAAAGCAGUAAGUAUUCCACCUGGGGAGUACGUUCGCAAGAAUGAAACUCAAAGGAAUCGACGGGGACCCGCUCAAGCGGUGGAGCAUUUGGUCUAAUUGGAAGCAACGCGAAGAACGUGAUUAAUUCUUGACAUCGUUGUGACCGGUAAUUAGCGGUUCCUUCUCUUUGGAGCAGGAGUGACAGGUGGUGCAUGGUGGUGUUCAGCUCGUGUCUCGAGAUCAAGGGGUAAGUUCCGCAACGAGGGCAACCCUUAUAUUUUGUAGCCAGCGGUUUGGCCGGGCACUCUCGAGAGAAUGCCAGGGAUAACCUUGAGGAAGGCGGGGAGGACGUCACAUCAUCACGCCCCGUAUGACGUGGGUUACACACGUGAUCCAACGGUGUAAACAAAGGGAAGCAAAGCUAGUGAGGCGGAGCAAAUCUCAAAAAUAACGUUUCAGCUCGGGAAGUAGUUUGCAACCCGAGUACAUGAAGCAGGAAUAGUUAGUAAUGGCAGAUCAGAAUGAUGCGGUGAAUACGUUCUCGGGUUUAGCACA